ensembl:lncRNA
UACAAAUACGAAAUACAAAACAAAUAAUAUCUAAUGCUAAUCAUGGUACUUGCAGGGUGCACCAUACUCCUGAGCUGGACCAGACUGACCAUACAACCCCAGGCCUCAGCCAGAGAGACCGUGCGUCUCCCACGUCUCCCAACCUCAGCCAGAGAGACAUGCGCCUCCCAGCCUCAGCCAGAGACCACAAACCAGUCUUCAUACAGCACUCCUUAGAAAUAUUCUCACAAAUCAAGAAAUGAUAAUGGACCAAAUCAAAAUUCUUUUCACAACUGUCCAGGGACUGAAAACUGUAACUGAAGAAGAGAUAGGUGUUGAACCAAAUCUGCUGCCAUUAGCUGAUCGCCAGGCUGUUGAAAACCUGGAGGAGCGGCUCAGAAAUAGUCCCGACCUCAAAAACCAAUUGCGGCUUUGCGACGUAAUCGUCUUACUUCUAAUGCCACAGCCCAAGAAGUUGAGAUGAGAAUAACCAAGUGGCUCCAAAACGCGCCUGAUAGGAAUGGAGGGCAAACUCAAAGAAUGAGAAGGAAGGAUUUGUGAAAGUGAAACUGUUGUGAUUUGUGUUCCAGUGUGUUUUGUGUGUGUGUUUGUGUGCUACAUUUGUUGUGGGGUUUUUUCAGUUCAAAUUUUGAUGUUUGAACUGUGUUCCUGUCCACAGUGUUUACUUUUGCACUAUUAUGUUCCAGCAGCAGUAUUAUUUGAUAUAUUAUACAUUAUAUAAAUUCUUCAAUUCUCAAUAAAUAUGUGCUGCAUCACUUUUGUUGAGACAUUUUUAAUCUGUACUCAAUACGGCACAUGUUAUUACAUGGCUUGAUUAGGGUACACAUUAGGCUGACAUUUGUGGCCAGAGCUGAAACUGCUCUGGGCCAGCACAGAGCUGUCUGCAGCUGGCCUUGUGCUGGCCCAUGUGUGGACUACCUCUGGCAAACCUGAUUUGGGCCACCAAAGGGCCGUCAUUCUUUGCGGUAUGUGGGCCAUGUGUCAGCACAUUGUGUGGGCCAGAUUCGGGCCAUACCAAUUUUGCUAUCUGGGAAGCUGGCAACACUCGUUGUGCACCCCACCCUAUGUGACUGGCUACAGGACUUUUUGACUGGCAGGCCCCAGACCGUCAGGAUCGGCAACAGGACUUCAACCAGCAUUAUUACAAACACGGGCGUUCCACAGGGUUGCGUCCUCAGUCCCAUCCUCUACACCCUGUACACUCACAACUGUGUCACCUCCAAUAGGGAUAACACCAUACUGAAGUUUGCAGAUGACACUGCAGUGAUUGGUCACAUCACUGGAGGGACACAGUGGCUUAUAGGAAAGAGGUGGCCGGUCUGGUGUCAUGGUGUGAGGACAACAACCUCACCCUCAACACUGAUAAGACAAAAGAGAUGAUAGUGGACAUGAGGAAGAAGAGGAGGCCUCACUAGCCGCUGUUUAUCUGGGGGCUUGAAGUGGAGAGGGUGAGCAGCUUUAGCAGUCCUCACCUGGACACUGAACACCACACAGCUGGUCAAGAAGGCUCAGCAGCGGCUGUAUUUCCUGA